UGGGGAAUAUUGCACAAUGGGCGAAAGCCUGAUGCAGCAACGCCGCGUGAGUGAUGAAGGCCUUCGGGUUGUAAAGCUCUGUCUUUUGGGACGAUAAUGACGGUACCAAAGGAGGAAGCCACGGCUAACUACGUGCCAGCAGCCGCGGUAAUACGUAGGUGGCAAGCGUUGUCCGGAUUUACUGGGCGUAAAGGAUGCGUAGGCGGAUUUUUAAGUGAGAUGUGAAAACCCUAAGCUUAACUUGGGGACUGCAUUUCAUACUGGAAAUCUAGAGUGCGGGAGAGGAGAAUGGAAUUCCUAGUGUAGCGGUGAAAUGCGUAGAGAUUAGGAAGAACACCAGUGGCGAAGGCGAUUCUCUGGACCGUAACUGACGCUGAGGCAUGAAAGCGUGGGUAGCAAACAGGAUUAGAUACCCUGGUAGUCCACGCCGUAACGAUGAGUACUAGGUGUAGGAGGUAUCGACCCCUUCUGUGCCGCAGUUAACACAAUAAGUACUCCGCCUGGGAAGUACGAUCGCAAGAUUAAAACUCAAAUGAAUUGACGGGGGUCAUAGCUGUUUUCCU
rnacentral:rRNA from 1 species